UGAUUCCCCUAGUAACGGCGAGUGAAGAGGGAAAAGCUCAAAGUUGGAACCUGGCUGCCCUAGGCAGUCCGGAUUGUAAACUAAAGAGCGUGAUUCCAGGCAAGCCGGUUGACCAAGUCCUUUGGAAUGAGGCGCCACUGAGGGUGAGAGCCCCGUAAGUCGACUGAGCAUUUGUCUUUUGUGUUUCGCGUUCAAAGAGUCAGGUUGUUUGGGAAUGCAGCCUAAAGCUGGUGGUAAAUCCCACCUAAAGCUAAAUACAGGCGAGAGACCGAUAGCGAACAAGUACCGUGAGGGAAAGAUGAAAAGAACUUUGAAAAGAGAGUUAAACAGUAUGUGAAAUUGCCAAGAGGGAAGCAUUUGGAGUUAGAUUGACUAGGAGUUAAUCAGCUUGGUCUUUGGACUGGGUGUACUUGACUUCUUACAGUCUGCCAAUAGCAGUUAGUCCUAGUGGAAAAAACCAGAGGGAAGGUAGUCCUUCGGGAUGUUUAUAGACCUUUGGAAAAUACACUGGGAUUGACUGAGGAAUGCAGUAGAUGCCACUAAGGCUUCGUCUAGUGGGUGCUAGGCAAAGGUACUUGGUAUUUUCAGCUUGCUGAUGUGCUAGGUUACUCGAGUCUAGUCGCCUACUAGAACUGUAAUC
rnacentral:rRNA from 1 species